UCCAAAACCCAGGUGAUUUAACUCUUUUGCCUUGCCCCAGCCUGCAGAGGGCAUUGUGACACACCUCUGCAAACAUCACCAAGGUGAUGUAACUCUCUUCUGACAAUUCCGUGUUCUAAAAGGUGAUUGUGACAUAUCACUGAGCUUAGCACCUAGCUGAUGUGACUCUUUUUUUCUUCCUAGAUUCUGCCUGCAAAGAAGAUUGUGACAUAUUGCUGGUUGCAGCACCACGGUGAUAUUACUCUUUUGCCUUGGCACUGCCCCCAGAAGGCAUUGUGAUAUGUUGGUGGUCCCAGCUUCAAGGGAAUGCCCUGAUAGAAAGAACAUGGACAGCGUGAGUCUGUUGGAGACUACCCCAUGGACAAGCAGAAUAAACUACAAUGGGUUUGAUGACAAAUGAUGUUGGGCCAGCCUGUUCCAAAAGCAAGCCAAGACGCAGUAGAAACCAAUACGGCCUUUCUGUGGGGGAGGCAUGAGUGUACUCCUUCUACCACAGGGACUCCCCAACACUGGCAGUGUCCAUGCCUUAUUCCACCACAGCAACAACAGAAAAUGGUAAAAUGGUCUUUUGCUGCUUUUUGCAGAGCUA